rnacentral:rRNA from 1 species
UACGUAGGCAGCGAGCGUUGUUCGGAGUUACUGGGCGUAAAGGGUGUGUAGGCGGUUGUUUAAGGUUGGUGUGAAAUCUCCCGGCUCAACUGGGAGGGUGCGCCGAAUACUGAGCGACUAGAGUGCGGGAGAGGAAAGUGGAAUUCCUGGUGUAGCGGUGAAAUGCGUAGAUAUCAGGAGGAACACCGGUGGUGUAGACGGCUUUCUGGACCGUAACUGACGCUGAGACACGAAAGCGUGGGUAGCAAACAGG